GCUGGCGCUCAAUUAUCCGUUACUUACUCUGUUAAAUUGCCGAUGGUGAUCGCGCAGCGGGAUUGCGCGCUCCCGGUUGCCUUCAGUGGCAUCCUCGAGAUUUGCGCGCGCGCAACGGAGGAGACCUAGGAGAAAGGCCUUGGGUCUAAUCAGUUAUUACAAACUCCGGACAAACGAUAAUUAUACGACGUGCAAUUGAUUGCCGGCGGGGUAUUUAUGUGAUGAUACACUUUGUUGAAAAAUAUAAAAUCGAUACGUGUGAAAUUUUAAAUAUAAAAAUAAUUGAAAAUAGAAGAGAAUGACAAAUGUCUAGAUGCUAACAGACGUAUUUUGUCAAAAUUCUCCUUGCAGCAAAAACCUUUUGACAAAAUCAAGAUGCUAAAGGAUGGAGUAAUCAUUAACAUUGCAUAUAGCGCGAAAAUACUGCCUGACCUCUAGAUUAAAUCAAUGGUAAUCGACUUCUGACUGACCUCCGGGUUAUAGAUGCGAUACGAAAGCACACGUGUAUAACUCAUUUUUAAGCGUUACUUAUUUUUAUUUGUAAAAUGUGACAUAUCGGAAACAUUUUACAGCAUGCGGCACAUCAACCUGACCUUAUUAUUUUAAGCAGAAUUAUCAAAAAUUAAACUUAUUAUCUUGAAAUAGCGAUAAACUCGAUUAUUCUAAAAAGAUUGUGUUGCCUUCACGCACAUACAAUGACUAUCGUAUUAUAGUUGAAUUACAUGUAAUCUAGUUAGCUGAAAUAAAUAUACAAUUACAU